rnacentral:rRNA from 1 species
AUUGAACGCUGGCGGCAUGCCUUACACAUGCAAGUCGAACGGUAACAGGUCUUCGGAUGCUGACGAGUGGCGAACGGGUGAGUAAUACAUCGGAACGUGCCUAGUAGUGGGGGAUAACUACUCGAAAGAGUGGCUAAUACCGCAUGAGAUCUACGGAUGAAAGCAGGGGAUCGCAAGAACUUGUGCUACUAGAGCGGCCGAUGGCAGAUUAGGUAGUUGGUGGGAUAAAAGCUUACCAAGCCGACGAUCUGUAGCUGGUCUGAGAGGACGAUCAGCCACACUGGGACUGAGACACGGGCCAGACUCCUACGGGAGGCAGCAGUGGGGAAUUUUGGACAAUGGGCGCAAGCCUGAUCCAGCAAUGCCGCGUGCAGGAUGAAGGCCUUCGGGUUGUAAACUGCUUUUGUACGGAACGAAAAGCCCUGGGUUAAUACCCUGGGGUCAUGACGGUACCGUAAGAAUAAGCACCGGCUAACUACGUGCCAGCAGCCGCCGUAAAAC